GGCUCGGUAGCUUAGUUGGUAAAGCACUCGUCUAGCAUACAAGAGUCCUGGGUUCAAAUCCCAGCCAAGCAC
rnacentral:tRNA from 1 species